GGGGCCGUAGCUUAGCCCGGUAGAGCGCCUGGCUCAUAACCAGGUGGUCGUCGGUUCAAACCCGAUCGGCCCCA
rfam:Thermoplasmatales archaeon I-plasma AMDT3_IPLC00002, whole genome shotgun sequence.